GGCGAACGGGUGAGUAAUACAUGGGCAACCUGCCUUCGAGGGGGGAAUAACUAGCCGAAAGGCUAGCUAAUACCGCAUACGCUUCCGGUCCUUCGGGUAAGGAAGGAAAGCUACACCGUGGGUGUGGCGCUCGAAGAGGGGCUCAUGGCCUAUCAGCUUGUUGGUAGGGUAACGGCCUACCAAGGCAACGACGGGUAGCUGGUCUGAGAGGACGAUCAGCCACACUGGCACUGAGACACGGGCCAGACUCCUACGGGAGGCAGCAGUGAGGAAUAUUGCGCAAUGGGCGAAAGCCUGACGCAGCGACGCCGCGUGGGGGAAGAAGGUCUUCGGAUUGUAAACCCCUUUCAGGAGGAAAGAUGGGAUGGGUAACCAUUCGGACGGUACCUCCAGAAGAAGCCACGGCUAACUUCGUGCCAGCAGCCGCGGUAAUACGAAGGUGGCGAGCGUUGUUCGGAUUUACUGGGCGUAAAGAGCACGUAGGCGGUUUGGUAAGCCCCUUGGGAAAGCUCCAGGCUUAACCUGAAAGGUCGAGGGGGACUGCAAGCCUAGAGGACGGGAG
rnacentral:rRNA from 2 species